UUGUCCUUCGGGACACAUUCAAAAUUGGAACGAUACAGAGAAGAUUAGCAUGGUCCCUGCACAAGGAUGACACACUUCGUCUUCUGAGGAAGCUCUUCGGAGCAAAUUUUU
rfam:Allomyces macrogynus ATCC 38327 genomic scaffold supercont3.13, whole genome shotgun sequence.